rnacentral:rRNA from 1 species
AGUCGUACGGGCCGCAAGGCCAGUGGCGCAAGGGUGAGUAAGGCGACGGUAACCAACCCCAUGACUGGGUAUAGCCGCGGGAAACUGCGGGUAAUCCCCAGCGAUGUCCCGGAUUGGCAUCUUUCUGGGACCAAAGCUCCGGCGUCGUGGGACGGGCCGUCGUGGUAUUAGGUAGUUGGCGGGGUAACGGCCCACCAAGCCGAUGAUGCCUACCGGGCGUGCGAGCGCGACCCGGCACGCUGGGACUGAGACACUGCCCAGACUCCUACGGGAGGCUGCAGUCGAGAAUCUUCGGCAAUGGGCGCAAGCCUGACCGAGCGACGCCGCGUGGAGGACGAAGGCCUUCGGGUUGUAAACUCCUGUCGAGGGGGAAGAAGGUCGGGUAACCGACUUGGCUGAUCCCUGGAGGAAGCACGGGCUAAGUUCGUGCCAGCAGCCGCGGUAAGACGAACCGUGCGAACGUUAUUCGGAAUCACUGGGCUUAAAGCGCGUGUAGGCGGGACGGCACGUCGGUCGUUGAAAUCCCCCGGCUCAACUGGGGAACGGGCGCCGAUACGACCGUCCUGGAGGGACGUAGGGGGACCUGGAACUUCCGGUGGAGCGGUGAAAUGCGUUGAGAUCGGAAGGAACGCCCGUGGCGAAAGCGAGGUCCUGGACGUUUUCUGACGCUGAGACGCGAAAGCCAGGGGAGCGAACGGGGAUUUAGAUACCCCGGUUAGUCCUGGCCGUAAACGAUGGGCACUUGGGUAGGGGGCUCGCCGGAUGGCUCCCUGCCGUAGGGAAAACCGUGAAGUGCCCCCGCCUGGGGAGUAUGGUCCCCAAGGCUGAAACUUCA